rnacentral:rRNA from 1 species
CCAGGCCUUGACAUGACAGAGAACUUUCCAGAGAUGGAUUGGUGGCCUUCGGGAACUCUGACACAGGUGCUGCAUGGCUGUCGUCAGCUCGUGUCGUGAGAUGUUGGGUUAAGUCCCGUAACGAGCGCAACCCUUGUCCUUAGUUACCAGCACGUUAUGGUGGGCACUCUAAGGAGACUGCCGGUGACAAACCGGAGGAAGGUGGAGAUGACGUCAAGUCAUCAUGGCCCUUACGGCCUGGGCUACACACGUGCUACAAUGGUCGGUACAAAGGGUUGCCAAGCCGCGAGGUGGAGCUAAUCCCAUAAAACCGAUCGUAGUCCGGAUCGCAGUCUGCAACUCGACUGCGUGAAGUCGGAAUCGCUAGUAAUCGUGAAUCAGAAUGUCACGGUGAAUACGUUCCCGGGCCUU